rnacentral:rRNA from 1 species
AGAACGAACGCUGGCGGCAUGCCUAACACAUGCAAGUCGAACGGGACCUUCGGGUCUAGUGGCGCACGGGUGCGUAACGCGUGGGGAUCUGCCCUUAGGUACGGAAUAACAGUUAGAAAUGACUGCUAAUACCGUAUAAUGACUUCGGUCCAAAGAUUUAUCGCCUAGGGAUGAACCCGCGUAGGAUUAGCUUGUUGGUGAGGUAAAGGCUCACCAAGGCGACGAUCCUUAGCUGGUCUGAGAGGAUGAUCAGCCACACUGGGACUGAGACACGGCCCAGACUCCUACGGGAGGCAGCAGUGGGGAAUAUUGGACAAUGGGCGAAAGCCUGAUCCAGCAAUGCCGCGUGAGUGAUGAAGGCCUUAGGGUGUAAAGCUCUUUGCCCGGGAUGAUAAUGACAGUACCGGAGAAUAAGCUCCGGCUAACUCCGUGCCAGCAGCCGC